GACGAACGCUGGCGGCGUGCUUAACACAUGCAAGUCGAGCGGAAAGGCCACUUCGGUGGUACUCGAGCGGCGAACGGGUGAGUAACACGUGAGUAAUCUGCCCCUGGCUUUGGGAUAGCCACCGGAAACGGUGAUUAAUACCGGAUACGACCACCUCUCGCAUGGGCUGGUGGUGGAAAGUUUUUUCGGCCAGGGUUGUGCUCGCGGCCUAUCAGCUUGAUGGUGAGGUAAUGGCUCACCAUGGCUUCGACGGGUAGCCGGCCUGAGAGGGUGACCGGUCACACUGGGACUGAGACACGGCCCAGACUCCUACGGGAGGCAGCAGUGGGGAAUAUUGGACAAUGGGCGGAAGCCUGAUCCAGCAACGCCGCGUGAGGGAUGACGGCCUUCGGGUUGUAAACCUCUUUCAGCAGGGACGAAGCGCAAGUGACGGUACCUGCAGAAGAAGCACCGGCCAACUACGUGCAGCCGCCGCCGUAA
rnacentral:rRNA from 1 species